UUGAGCGCCUGAGCGCCAAUUGGAUCGAUGUUUACAUGAUGCUAGAAAGGAAUUGGCGCCUAAGCGCUCCUGAUUGAGCGCCUGAGCGCCAAUUACCUCCAGAGAGCUUGUUUUGGCUUGGAAUUGGCGCUCAGGCGUGCUUAAUUGGCGCCUGAGCGCCCAGACUCGACCUGUUUGCCUAUAAAUAGGCUUUUUGUCAUUUCUUUUGUAACUUUUGUCAUUUCUACACAUUCCUAAAUAAGUUAGAAGUAGGGUUAGGCUCUGGAGCUUGAGGAGAAGCAUUCUCCAAGUUCAUGUUCCAGGUUUUAUCCUUCUUUUCUUGUAUGGAUUCUAUAGCCAUGCUUGGCUAAAACCCCUUUUGCUUUGGGUUCUUUGUAAGACUUUGAAUGUUUUAGCUAUCAAUCCUUUUCUAUUCAUGAUGUUCUGAGUAAACCCUUGAAUCUCACUUCUAUGCUUUAUCUUUCAAGCUUGAAUGCAUAAUAGCUUGUUACUUUUCUAUAAUCAUAACGAUAGUUUGUUAUAGAAUUGGGACUUGUUGUGAGAUUACUCCUUCUAUACUUGCUACUAGGAAUAGAGGAAGGGUUGGGGUUUGUUGGCCUGAUUUGUAUGCUUAGUGCUUCUAGCAAAUGUUUAGGUUAUCAAGGAAUUGAACCUAUCUUUUGAUUAGGAAGGGUUUUCUUUGCGAGGCAUCGAAAGAUAACUAACUAGGCUAGAACAUCAAGGAGAGACUCCGGAUUAAUUGAAUAGGAAGGUUUGCUAAAACUGAAUUAGUUGAACAAGAACCCAAGGCAAUCUCAUCUCUGUUUUUCAAUCGCUUUAUUACUUGAUUACUUGUCUUUUUACAAACUCAAGAAACAACCAAUUAUUAAAACUGAGUUUUACUUGCUUUUCAACCUUAAACUUGAAUCUUAAACUGAAUUGCCACACCAAUUCCCUGUGGUUCGAUAAUUUAAAACCCGGAGGUAUUCGUACACUUGCGAAUUGACCAACAAGUUUUUGGCGCCGUUGCCGGGGAAUUGUUUGUGGUUUUUGGUUUAAGUUUUUAGUUUAUGGUUUUAUUUUUGUUUUGAACUUGUCUAGAAUUGGUGCUACUAAUCUUUCUCUGUUUAGUAUCAAACUUUCAGGCUACUCUCACAAGAGACACCACCAUGGGUGGCCAUAUGACGGAGGAGGAGAUGCAAGCCCAUAUCGAGGCAAGAAUCCAAGAGGGGAUCACCCUCCGAUUAUGUGAACAAGAAGUUGAGAAUGCCAACCGGUCUCUUCGGGAACUCACUUCGGCUACCAUGAGUUAUGACUAUCCCGGGAGCAUUGUCUUUCCCGAGGGAGUGGGAAACUUUAAGUUGAGACCGGCAUUCAUCAACUUGGUGAGCCAAAACCAAUAUGGUGGAGGUACUUUGGAAGAUCCACAUGCUCACAUGGAGAGGUUCAUCAGGAAUUGCAACACUUACCGUGUGAACAAUGUUCCGGCGGAUGCAAUUCGGUUGAGCUUGUUUCCAUUUUCUUUGAAGGACACCGCUGAGGAAUGGCUGAAUUUUCAACCUCAAGGGAGCUUCACUACUUGGGAAGACUUAGCGGAAAAGUUCACAACAAGGUUCUUCCCAAGAGCCCUUUUGAGGAAAUUGAAGAAAGACAUCAUGAAUUUUGUGCAAACCGCUGAAGAGAAUCUCUAUGAAGCUUGGGAGCGCUUCAAGAAGCUCUUGAAAAAAUGUCCUCAACACAAUCUCACCCAAGCUGAAUUGGUUGCAACAUUUUAUGAUGGUCUACAAUACUCUUGGAGGUUUGGCCUAGAUGCGGCUUCAAAUGGGGAGUUCGAUGCUCGUCCCCCACAAGCGGGGUAUGACUUAAUAGAAAAGAUGGCAGCGAGAGCCAUGAACUCUGAAAAUGAUCGCCAAACCCGAAGGAGUAAGUUUGAAGUGGAAGCUUAUGACAAGCUCUUGGCCUCCAACAAGCAACUCACCGAACAAGUGGCGGAGAUUCGAAAGCAUAUUAAGGAGACCAAGGCUGUUGGUGCAAGAAUGACUUGUGUGGAGUGCAAGUCUUGUGGUGGACCUCAUGUUAGUAACUUGUGCACUGUCAAUGCUGAGAGCAAUGAAGCCAAAGCUAUAGCUCAAGGAAGCAUAGUUCCAUCCUCAAAUCAUGAACCUCUUGUCCAAACACAAGUUGUUGGAAAGGUGAAUUGCAAGAGGAGUUUAGAGGAGCUAUUGGAGAGUUGCAUCAACCGCAUGAACAACAACCAUAAGAACCAAGAGGCGGCUAUCAAGAACUUGGAGAACCAACUUGGCCAGCUAGCCAAGCAAAUUGCCGAAAGGCCUCAAGGUAAAUUUCCUUCCGAUACUUUCCCCAAUCCCAAACAAGAAAAUUCUGCUGUUGUUACUACUAGAAGUGGUAGAGUGUUGAAUGGGUUAGAAAAGAAAGCAGAGGGAGAAAAAAGUGAGAGGAUAGUUGAGGAGGAAAGGAGUGUUCCUAUUAAAACUAGAGUGAUGAAUGAUCCUAUUCCUGAACUUAGCAAAGUUCCAUUUCCUAAAGCAAUGGCUAAAAAGAAUUUGGAUAAAAAGUUUUCAAAAUUUAUGGAUGUUUUUAAGAAACUCCAUAUUGAUAUCCCUUUUUCCGAUGCUUUAGAACAAAUGCCUAUCUAUGCUAAGUUCAUGAAGGACAUUUUAAAUAAGAGGAGGAAGUUGAGUGAGGUUGAUGAAACUAUUAUGAUGACCGAGGAGUGUAGUGCCAUUUUGCAAAGGAAAAUGCCUAAGAAGAGAAGGGAUCCUGGGAGUUUCACUAUCCCAGUGGAGAUUGAGGGGUUAAAUGUUGUUGAAGCCUUGUGUGAUUUGGGAGCGAGCAUCAACUUGAUGCCACUUAGCAUGUUUAGAAGGCUGAACUUAGGAGAGGUCACCCCGACCAUGCUCUCCUUACAAAUGGCGGACCGAUCCCUAAAAACACCUUAUGGGAUCAUUGAAGAUGUUAUGGUGAAGGUGGAUAAGUAUGUGUUCCCUGUGGACUUUGUGGUGCUGGACAUGGAAGAGGAUGCAAAGAUUCCUCUCAUUCUAGGCCGACCCUUCUUAGCCACUGGUAGGGCUAAAAUUGAUGUUGAUAAGGGUCAGCUCAUUCUUAGAGUUGGUGAGGACAAGGUAAGAUUUUCGGUUUUCAAUUCUAAUUUGCAAACUAACAUUAAUGAUGGUUUUGUUUGUGAUAUGAUCAAAAGCUUGUCCAGGUCUUCAAAGGAGACCCCCAAGGUAAGUGAAAAAGAUGUUGAGCUUAAUAAAGUUCUCAUCAAGCUUGUUAGUGAAAACAAGUAUGGGGGGUCUAAAGAUGAGAAUUUCCAAGCCCACACGGCCCGAUUCACUCAAGCUAGUCACCUUGUAAAGAUGGAAGGUGUGACUAGUGAUGAGCUCAUGAUUAAGCUCUUCCCUCACUCCUUGAAAGGGGGAGCAAGGAUUUGGUAUGAUGGUUUAGAUGAUACCCUCUAUUGGGAGGAGUUUUUCCAAAGGUUUUGUGCAAGGUUCCUACCUUGCUCAUGUGGUAAGAAGUGUGAUGGUAAGGAAUUUCCUUCCUAACAUCAAAGGAAGGAGAGUCCACCUAGGACUAUAACUUAGGGCUGCUUGGGAGACAACCCAAGUCUUGUUUUAUUUUGCUUGUUUGUUUAUUGCAUUUUGCAGGGAAUGAGAGCCUGAAUUCUGGAGAAGGAGGUGUAUCUAAGGCCUCCAUGGUAAUUGGUAAAGGAGGUAAACUAUUUCCCUUAGUUUAUAGCUCAUGCAUUUUUGCAUAUUUUUCUUUUGUAGCUUUUAUUUUUCUUUUAAUCAUGCAUUGUAAGUUAGAGUUGUUUUUGGGUCUUUACUUCCCUAUACUCACAUGUUUUUGCCCGUAGUUAUGCUCUCGUACUUGUGCUGGUUUUGAAAAUGUUUUUAUGAAUACUUGUGUUGUCUUUUGGGGAUGAGUGAUUGCAUGCUUUGGGGAAGAGAGGAUGAGACUUUGGUCUUCCGAGUGUUUCUUAAGGAUAGAGUUGGUGUGAGUCCAUAAGGGUCCAUCUUUGACCCUUCACCAUAAAAUUUCCCUGGAGGAUCCUGACUCACUCGUACUUCUUGGUACUGUAUUGAUUUCACUCUUUGCAUGCUUUGUGAUACUUGCACAAUUCUUGAGACUUGUAGGUUUUUGAGCUUCAGAGUUGUUGGUUUGAACAUUGUCCUUAGUUGUCCCAUUUGAGCCUUAUUGGAGAAUUUGUUGUAGCCAAGUGAUUGGGACGGAUGUUUGGUUGGAAUUUGGGGAGUGUUGGUCCUUGCAUUGUUUUGGAGCUAAUUAAAAUUGAAAGUGUCUCUUGCCCCAACUGAAAAAAAAAAGAAAAAAAAAGAAAGAAAAGCACUCCUAAUCAAAGUUAGAGUGUCAAAGAAAAAAGAAAAGAAUGUUGAAAAAGAGGGGUCAAGAGACUUGUGCUUAUUAAGUUUGUUUAUUGAAAGCUCUGGGGUUACAAUUUGGACCACACUCAAUAUGUUUUGAAGCCUAGUCUUCCUUAGGGACCAACCACCUUGUACUUCACCAAGCCAACAUUUCAACCCUUUGAAGUCUCUUUGAAUUUGUGCAUGUUUGAUCUCUGUUGCUCUUGAGUGAAUGAUAUCCAGGACCUAUGGACUACUUGUGUGCUCAGUGCACUUAAUAUAUAUCUCAUCCUAGGAAUUUUAGAUCUAUAUGCUUCUCAUGAUGGACUCUACACUCUCCUUUAUCUAAAAGUUGCAUGAAGUGGAUUGUUGUGUCUUUCUUUUGGAACCAGUUGUGGUUGCUAAAUCCCCCGGUUUUUGUGAUAAGUAUUCCUUGUUGAGAGCACUUGUUUAGGAGCAUUUCUUGCGCUUGAGGGCAAGCGAGUGUUUUUUACGCUCGAGGGCGAGCUGUCGUUGAGUAUAGUGGUGUGAUGACCCUAGUUUAGUAGUGUUUUUAGGAUCAUUUCUUAGUUUGUUUUGAGUCUUUUUGUUGAGUCUCAUGUAGUGUUUCAUGUAUUCUCAUGCAUUUUUAUCUUUAUUUGUGUUUCUACUUUGUUUUGGUAAUUUCAUAGAUUUAUAGGGACCUUUCAUGCAUUUUAAGUAAGUUUAAGACUUGCAUAUCUUUUCUACUUGAAUUGAGGGUCUUUUGUGCUAAUAAACUCUUGGAAAUCAUAGAUAUUUUCCUUGCUUUGUUCCCAAGCAGCUAGUUCUGAAAACUGAUGAAGAAAGAAGGUCAAAAGGCUUGGAAAAUUGAAGGGAGGCUUAAAGGGGAGUUAAGAAGAAGGUCAAGAGGCUUCCUAGCAUGUAGAGAGCGCUCAGGCGCUCGUGUUGAGCGCCUGAGCGCCAAUUGGAUCGAUGUUUACAUGAUGCUAGAAAGGAAUUGGCGCCUGAGCGCUCCUGAUUGAGCGCUUGAGCGCCAAUUACCUCCAGAGAGCUUGUUUUGGCUUGGAAUUGGCACUCAGGCGUGCUUAAUUGGCGCUUGAGCGCCCAGACUCGACCUGUUUGCCUAUAAAUAGGCUUUUUGUCAUUUCUUUUG
rnacentral:lncRNA from 1 species